rnacentral:rRNA from 1 species
GAUGAACGCUAGCGGCAGGCUUAAUACAUGCAAGUCGAGGGGCAUCAAGGUACACGAAAGUGUAUUGUUGGCGACCGGCGGACGGGUGAGUAAUAGGUAGGUAACCUACCUCAUACUGAGGCAUAGCUGGGAGAAAUUCCAGGUAAUUCCUCAUGAGGUUAUAUGACACAUGUGAUAUAAUCAAAGGUAUCGCAAGGUACUGGUAUGAGAUGGGCUUACUGACCAUUAGCUAGUUGGUGAGAUAAGAGCUCACCAAGGCGAAGAUGGUUAGGGGUUUGAGAGAGAGAUCCCCCACAUUGGAACUGAGAUACGGUCCAGACUCCUACGGGAGGCAGCAGUAGGGAAUAUUGGGCAAUGGGCGGAAGCCUGACCCAGCCAUGCCGCGUGAAGGAAGACGGCCUUAUGGGUUGUAAACUUCUUUACUAUGCGACUAACUAGAUUUACGAGAUAAUUCUAUAGAAUGUAGUAUAGCAAAAGCACCGGA